AAAUUGUAGAAAGUUUGCUGUGAUGGGUAGGUUUAACGUAGAGGGAUAGGUUAUGCAGUUUGUACAGUAUAAAAACCAUUAUGUCUAUGGAAAGUCCCCAUAAAACAUGAAAACACAGCGUGUGUGUGUGUGUGUGUGUCUGUACUGUAGAGCAGAAACACAGAUGUGCACUAUUAAAGCUCUUACAGUCAGUUAUGCUGUACAUGUACUGUAAGUAGGAGUGUCUGAUUGAGAAACGUGUACAACAUAGUUAAAAUUAGUGAACUCUUUUUAUGGUCUUGGAACAUAUGUUUGGUAGAGAGACAUUUUGAGCUGCUGUAUGUUAAAAAUCUUUGCCAUGGUUUCAAGCAGGACAUAUUCCACUGUCCAUGUUUUGUUGAUCUGGUAACAAGAUCCCUACAAGUUAGUCCUAACGCUACCCCUAAACCUAACCCAACCCAUUAUCCUUAAAGUAAGAAAUGAUAACCAGCACAAAACCCUGGUUGUAUGCAUAAACUUGACAUAAACUGUAAACUUGUCACUCAAAUAUGAUUGGUUGAAUGAAAUGCAGGAUUAACAAUGUAAGCAGGCAGUGUCAUUUUAUAAACUGCUUAAGUGACCCUGAUAUUGUAAUAAGUACAUAAAUUAAUGAAUGAACAAACUAAUAAAUAAAUAAAACAUUACAAAACAAACAUUAAUAAAAAAUAAUUUAUUUGUCUUACAUUUUAACUGAAUAUUGACAUUUACAUUUAUAAAUGACUUUUUUAUGAAUAAAAAUAGCCUUUCAUAUUAUUAAAUGAGUGGGUAAAUCAGCACAAAUCAGCAUAAAACUGCAAUGAGAACAUUGUUUUUUGAUAUUAUUUGAUUUGAUAUUAGGCUAUUAACUUUUCAAACAUUUUAUUAUUAUUAUUAUCAUGUUAUAGGCUUCAGCUAACUUUGUUAGAGAUAAUAAUCUUUUUUUAAUCAGAGUUCAAACUGGUUCGAAUUUUCCUAUUUCCGGCCCUUUAAAUUUAAAAGUAAGCGCGCAAAAGGCGGAACAGCAGAGGAUCGGCUGGAGAAUUGACGGUUGAAAACUGCACAAAAUAAAGUCAAGUGUAGAGCCUCCUGCUGUAAAAAACAGCAUUGACCAGCAUGAAUUCCCUUUCAGUCACUGUCUACCAACCUGCAGUCGGUUCAGCACGGUACUGUAGACAAGUGUUUUUACUUAUGUUUCAUUAUGGCAUAACAGUAAAAUAAAAAUUAUGACUAUAAUUCAAUUGGACAUUCAUCUAUGUAUUCAUUGUACAUUAUACUGCACUAACUAGUUUUAUUACUUGUCAGAAACAUCAGGCUCACAGCAACAGAUUAAGAAUAAUCCUGCAUCAAAAGAUGGCUUCAACUUGCAUGUGAGACAGAGAAGAGAAAAAGAGGAAUGAAGAUGGACUGUCUAAGAAACCUGUUACCAUAGUCAGCUGGAUCCCCUCCAAAUCCAGAUCAGAUGCUGGACCUGCAUCUUGGCAUGACCACAACGCAAGCCUAAAUGUCAAAGAAGACCAUGUCAACUAGACAAGCCAGACAGAUCCCCUGUGAGGACUUCGUUGACAGCCAUCGGCAAAGAUCCUCAGCAAAGACCACAAGAACCAGACAAGUCCUCUGCACAGACCCCUACGGCCAGCUUCAACUCUAUGCCGGCGUGUUGUAUUUUGAUCUUCAAACUGAUGGAACCAUAUGAAAUAUUCUAAAUUAUACCAAUCCACAAUCUGACUUGUGUUGCUGCCUGAAUCAUAUCACUCCAUGUUCGUUCAUUGGCCAGAGGAGAAUUGGUCCCUGACUGAGCCUGGUUUCUCCCAAGGUUUUUUUUCUUCUCCAUUUUUGUUACCUGAUGGAUUUUGGGUUCCUUAUCCCUGUUGCCUUUGGCUUGCUAAGUUUGGGACACUUAAUAUUCAGCAAUAAUAUUGAUUUGAUUGCACUGACACUAUAAUAUGAAAACUGAACUGAGCUGGACGAUGACAUCACUGUUUUCUGCAGAGCUGCUUUAUAACGAAUUGAACUGAUUUCAUAAUUGAUUAACUAUAUACAGCUAUUGAACAGAACUGAAUUAAAACUAUACUGACUUCAGCUGAA